rnacentral:rRNA from 1 species
UACGUAGGGUGCGAGCGUUGUCCGGAAUUAUUGGGCGUAAAGAGCUUGUAGGCGGUUUGUCUCGUCUGCCGUGAAAAUCCGGGGCUCAACCCCGGACUUGCGGUGGGUACGGGCAGACUAGAGUGUGGUAGGGGAGACUGGAAUUCCUGGUGUAGCGGUGAAAUGCGCAGAUAUCAGGAGGAACACCGAUGGCGAAGGCAGGUCUCUGGGCCACUACUGACGCUGAGAAGCGAAAGCGUGGGGAGCGAACAGG